rnacentral:rRNA from 1 species
AGAUUGAACGCUGGCGGCGUGCCUAACACAUGCAAGUCGAGCGGUAACAGGUGUAGCAAUACAUGCUGACGAGCGGCGAACGGGUGAGUAAUGCUUUGGAAUCUUCCCAGUAGUGGGGAAUAACCAGUCGAAAGAUUGGCUAAUACCGCAUACGUCUGUAAAGGGAAAGCGGGGGCUCGUAAGACCUCGCGCUAUUGGAUGAGCCAAAGUCGGAUUAGCUAGUUGGUGGGGUAAUGGCCUACCAAGGCGACAAUCCGUAGCUGGUCUGAGAGGACGACCAGCCACACCGGAACUGAGACACGGUCCGGACUCCUACGGGAGGCAGCAGUGGGGAAUAUUGGACAAUGGGGGAAACCCUGAUCCAGCCAUGCCGCGUGAGUGAUGAAGGCCUUCGGGACGUAACUCCUUUCGAUCGGGACGAUUAUGACGGUACCGGAAGAAGAGCCCCGGCUAACUUCGUGCCAGCAGCCGC